rnacentral:tRNA from 1 species
CUAAGGAUGAUCCUUCAGAGAGCUUACGCUCACUAUCGGAUCGUUUUAGAAACAUCAGGGGCCAACAGAUCGCCAGAUCGUUGAGCUCCAUUGGCGGGAUUUCGCCGUCUACGUUUCUCUUUCUUCGCGGACGAACACGCGCCGGGGCUGCGCUGUGCGAUUGCAUUCGGCGCUGGUCGCCGGCUGCGCGCGAGCAGGCUCCUAGUCCUUGAGAGGAUAGCGUUAGGGCUUGUAGCUCAGUUGGUUAGAGCGCGCGCUUGAUAAGCGUGAGGUCGGAAGUUCAAGUCUUCCCAGGCCCACCACUUUCAUCGAGCGAGCAUUCGUCUUCUGGUUACGGGGCCAUAGCUCAGCUGGGAGAGCGCGUGCUUUGCAAGCAUGAGGUCGUCGGUUCGAUCCCGUCUGGCUCCACCAGAUGGUUUGAUCAUCGACUGAUCGUGCACCUAAAUCGUCCGCGAAACAUCACUUCGCAUCUUGCUAGUCUGGAUAGACAGCAAGUUGCGUGAUUUCUGACAUCGUAAAGAGGAGAUCGAUCCGAGUUGGAUCGUGCAGAGCAUAUCUGCGCGAGACUUCAUUAUCUCCGGAUCAUUUCGGCGCUCGCUUUCAACCGUGAGGUUGGCUGCGAGUUGUAAAUGAUCCUUUUAGCGAAGCUUGACCGCCUCGCUAUCGGAACGAUCUUACGAAGCAAGCUGGUCUUUCUAGUCAAUGUCCGGCUGCAUAUAGCGUUCAUCGAGGGCGCGCGCCGCAAGGCAAUUAUGCAGACAACAUUCUGCCGAGUGUGUGGACAUUGAUAAUGAGAGC